AGCUGUUUGCUCGGUGUAGUGGUAGCAUACUUGCUUUGGGUCAAACCAGCAAUUUGCAAGUGGUCCCAGGUUCAAGCCCUGGCUCGGCCC